ACGGCGGCGCCGCCGAAUCGUCGGACCGGAAACGGCCGGCGAGCCGGGGAACCAAGGUACGUGGGGUGAAUCGACCGGCUCGCCGGUCGUAGGGCAAGACCGAGGCCCGAAUCCGUCAGCUCACCUGGUAGGCGUCGAGGUACUCAGGA
rnacentral:sRNA from 1 species